AUCCUCGAUCUGCUGAGGACAGAUGAAGUGGAUAUGCGCGUCGAACCCGCCGGGGGUGAGAAUGCGGCCCUCUCCGGCGAUGAUCUCGGUUCCCGGUCCGAUGACGAUAUCGACGCCCGAUUGCGUGUCGGGGUUGCCCGCCUUGCCGAUGGCGGCAAUGAGACCAUCGCGCAGACCGACAUCGGCCUUGGUGAUCCCCUGAUGAUCGACGAUCAGCGCAUUGGUGAUGACGGUGUCCAUGGACCCACCCGCACGCGAGGUCUGGCUCUGCCCCAUGCCGUCGCGGAU
rfam:Roseovarius mucosus DSM 17069 Contig264, whole genome shotgun sequence.